rnacentral:rRNA from 1 species
GACGUAGGGCGCGAGCGUUGUCCGGAUUGAUUGGGCGUAAAGAGCUCGUAGGCGGCUCGUUGCGUCGGCUGUGAAAACCCGCAGCUCAACUGUGGGCCUGCAGCUGAUACGGGCGGGCUGGAGUUCGGUAGGGGAGACUGGAAUUCCUGGUGUAGCGGUGAAAUGCGCAGAUAUCAGGAGGAACACCGAUGGCGAAGGCAGCUCGCUGGGACGUGACUGACGCUGAGACGCGAAAGCGUGGGGAGCAAACAGG